GACCGCGUAGCUCAGUUGGCAGAGCAUUGGGCUAGUAUUCCAAAGGUCGUAGGUUCGAUUCCCACCGUGGCCU